UACGUAGGGUGCAAGCGUUGUUCGGAAUCAUUGGGCGUAAAGCGCGUGUAGGUGGUUUGUUAAGUCGAUUGUGAAAUCCCUGGGCUCAACCGAGGAAGUGCAGUCGAAACUAACUGACUAGAAGAUGGUAGAGGAAGGUGGAAUUCCAAGUGUAGAGGUGAAAUUCGUAGAUAUUUGGAGGAAUACCAGCGGCGAAGGCGGCCUUCUGGGCCAUUCUUGACACUGAGACGCGAAAGCGUGGGUAGCAAACAGGAUUAGAUACCCUGGUAGUCCACGCUGUAAACGAUGGGUACUAGGUGUUGUGGGAAUUGACCCCUACAGUGCCGCAGCUAACGCAUUAAGUACCCCGCCUGGGAAGUACGGCCGCAAGGUUAAA
rnacentral:rRNA from 1 species